rnacentral:rRNA from 1 species
CCUACGGGAGGCAGCAGUGAGGAAUAUUGGUCAAUGGCCGGAAGGCUGAACCAGCCAUGCCGCGUGAAGGGCAGGGCCCUAAGGGCGUUAAACUUCUUUUGUGCGGGAGCAAGAAUGGUCACGUGGGGCCAGACGAGAGUACCGUACGAAUAAGCAGCGGCUAACUCCGGGCCAGCAGCCGCGGUAAUACGGGGGAUGCAAGCGUUCUCCGGAUUUAUGGGGUUUAAAGGGGGCGUAGGCUGUGAGGUAAGUCAGCGGUGAACUGCCCCCGCUCAACGGGGUGAAGUGCCAUUGAUACGGCCUUGCUGGACUGCGGAUGCCGUGGGAGGAAUGUGUGGUGUAGCGGU